rnacentral:rRNA from 1 species
ACGCUCGACACCUACGGGAGGUAGCAGUGGGGAAUAGUUGCACAAUGGGGGAAACCCUGGAUGCAGCGACGCCGCGUGAAGGAAGAAGUAUUUCGGUAUGUAAACUUCUAUCAGCAGGGAAGAAGAUGACGGUACCUGACUAAGAAGCCCCGGCUAACCUACGUGCCAGCAGCCGCGGUAAUCUGAGCGGGCUGGCAAGGC